UUAAACAAGGAAGAGAUCUUCGAUAACCCGGUUUUCAUUUUGAUAGCGUUUCUUAAACACUUUACCAGAUUGGGUUGGAAGCUUGGUUGACUUUAGUCUAACCAAGCUUUUUGGUGAUUUUGUUUUUGUAUCUUGAGAGAGUUUUGAGUUGAAUUUUGAAUUGAACCUUUGGUUGGGUAACAGAGUUGGUGACGCAACCCUCUUCUUUUUGGUUCUAGUCUUAGGGAAUAGACACAAAUCCUUUGCGCUAUAUGAACUUACAGCACUCCCUACUCCCAUUGACAGACUUAUUGCCAGUCUGGAAAAUAUAUGGGAAUUUUCUAUAGGUUCCAUACUAAGCGUCUGAGAUGACUGUUUGUCCCAUGAACAAUAAUGUUUGUUUUUAUGCCAGUUCUCUUCUAAAGUUGCUAAUAGCAGAAAAUAAACUUUGAGUUCAGAGGGGGACUCGUUCCAAAGUUCCGAAGUUAUUUUAGAAGUAACUGAAAACAUGUUUUUCUGAAUCUUUGUUUGGUUAAAAUGUUCUAAGAUGUGUGUAGUCACACAUCUAUUAAAGAGUGUACGCAUAAGCACAAAUUGAUUUCUUGGUCUAGUAAACUUCUUUGAAGUUUUUUCAUUGGAUGAGCAAGUAAAAGCCUUACCAUUUCUCUUCAAAUUAGGAAAUUCAAUAGAGUUGUUAUUACUUUGCACUGCUUUAUUACUGGAGCAUGCUUCUUCUUUCGUAGAAAGCUUGAAAAAAGUUGUUCUUCUUAGCGUAGAGUUCGACAU
rnacentral:tRNA from 1 species